UGGUUGUGUGUGUUUUGUGUGAAGCAUUGUAUGUAUGUACUGAAGUGUACGAUGUGUGGUAAGCAUGCAUGGAAAAUUAUGUGUUAGGAAGUAUGACUUUGUUAAGGCUAUGACUGAAAUCUGUGUAAAUGCAUCCAUUAUGUUAUUUGAGAGAUGCAUGACCAAGUAUGGUUGGCGAUAAGGGGGUUCGGACAGAGUG
rnacentral:lncRNA from 1 species